rfam:Glycine soja cultivar W05 scaffold3294_19, whole genome shotgun sequence.
CUUUUAUUGGACAUUGACUACUACGUGUCGUGCUUUUAUUGAAGGUUGACGUUAAUUAUGAGCAUGAAAUUAAUGUUUAAUAAAAGCAAGACACGUGGCGGUCAACGUCC